ACUGUACUAACCUGUCACUGAAGACCUAUAGGUUCACCACUGUACUAACCUGUCACACACUGAAGACCUAUAGGUUCACCACUGUACUAACCUGUCACACACUGAAGACCUAUAGGUUCACCACUGUACUAACCUGUCACACACUGAAGGCCUAUAGGUUCACCACUGUACUAACCUGUCACACUGAAGACCUAUAGGUUCACCACUGUACUAACCUGUCACACACUGAAGGCCUAUAGGUUCACCACUGUACUAACCUGUCACACACUGAAGACCUAUAGGUUCACCACUGUACUAACCUGUCACACACUGAAGACCUAUAGGUUCACCACUGUACUAACCUGUCACACACUGAAGGCCUAUAGGUUCACCACUGUACUAACCUGUCACACACUGAAGACCUAUAGGUUCACCACUGUACUAACCUGUCACACACUGAAGACCUAUAGGUUCACCACUGUACUAACCUGUCACACACUGAAGUCCUAUAGGUUCACCACUGUACUAACCUGUUACAUACUGAAGACCUAUAGGUUCACCACUGUACUAACCUGUCACACACUGAAGACCUAUAGGUUCACCACUGUACUAACCUGUCACACACUGAAGGCCUAUAGGUUCACCACUGUACUAACCUGUCACACACUGAAGACCUAUAGGUUCACCACUGUACUAACCUGUCACACACACACUGAAGACCUAUAGGUUCACCACUGUCACACACUGAAAGCCUAUAGGUUCACCACUGUACUAACCUGUCACACACUGAAGUCCUAUAGGUUCACCACUGUACUAACCUGUCACACACUGAAGACCUAUAGGUUCACCACUGUACUAACCUGUCAUACACUGAAGACCUAUAGGUUCACCACUGUACUAACCUGUCACACACACACUGAAGUCCUAUAGGUUCACCACUGUACUAACCUGUUACACACUGAAGGCCUACAGGUUCACCACUUUACUAACCUGUCACACACUGAAGACCUAUAGGUUCACCACUGUACUAACCUGUCACACACUGAAGACCUAUAGGUUCACCACUGUACUAACCUGUCACACACUGAAGACCUAUAGGUUCACCACUGUACUAACCUGUCAC
ensembl:lncRNA